rnacentral:lncRNA from 1 species
CCAGGGACCCUUGCACACAUCAACAACUGACACCCACGAAGCAUCGUUACCCAUCGCGCCACAAAAGCCGCGGCCCUUGCAACGCAAGGGGAACAACCACUUCAGGGUUCCAUCAUUAGCAGCCCCCAGCCGCACCAGCGUUACCCGGUUCCCGGGUGUGGUCCCGGGCUGCUACCCUACAGAAGACUACCGGCCGCAUCGCCCCAUCCUGAGCCCCGGAACGGGGGUGGGGGGUGGGCCGGGGCAACAACACACCACUGCUGGGACGGGAGUUGGGGGGGGUUCCCAGCAGUGUAGAGAGAGCAGGGGUGGGGAGUGGCCCUGGGGGGGGCAAUACGGGCUCCUUCCUGGGCUCUCUAUUCGGCAGCAAACGCGCCAAGCCGCCAAGUCCCCUUAUACCACCGGGGCCACCCUACCCCGCCCCUGUCCCCCCACCCACUACGGGAGGGCCCCCUCCUCACUCCCCAUCAUCUCUGUGCCAGUCGGAGGGGGGCCCUUCCAAGAUCCAGGCCCUGCAUGCUCAGUACUGCCACACGGCCGCCGUGCAGCCCCCUCCUCCCUACUACCAUCACCAUCGCUACCACGUCCAAGCUGGCCCUCCUCCCUUGCCAGGCGGGGGCGUGCCCCCUCAUAUCCUUCAGAGAGGGCCGUUCCCCUGUCGUCCUCCUAUUGGCCCCCCUCACGCCCAGCUCCAGCAGCUGGCCCAUCUCUCCCAACUUUCCCAGCAUGGCAUGCAGGGUCGCUACAGCAACAUGGCGGUGGGCUGUCCUCCCCCCCUUUCUCCUCACUCCCAACAUUCCCAGAACCCCCAGUUCACCCUGUACCACACACAGCCCACACACUCUAUCAGGGCGGGCGCCAUGCCAGGCAAACCUCCUCUGACUUUGUCUCACUCCCACCCGCACCCCCACGCACACUCCCACACCCACCCCGGGCACCCCCUCAGUGCCGCACCGCACCCCGCCCCCCACCCACAUCAAUCUCGCUUCAUCUUCGGCACGCUGCCCCACCAACAUCAGCAUCAGCAGCCGUCCGCGUCCGUCAACACCCAUCACGCUGCGCCCGCCGCCCAGUAUCAGCCCCAGUACCCUCCUCUCUCUUCUAUCCCCCCUC